UACAGAGGGCGCGAGCGUUGUCCGGAAUCACUGGGCGUAAAGGGCGCGUAGGUGGCCACCAUAAGGCCGCGGUGAAAGUUCGGGGCUCAACCCCGGAUCGGCCGCGGCGACUGUGGGGCUCGGGUACUGUAGAGGCAGAUGGAAUUCCGGGUGUAGCGGUGGAAUGCGUAGAGAUCCGGAAGAACACCAGUGGCGAAGGCGGUCUGCUGGGCAGUGGGCUCGAAAGGGCCCUUCAACCGACACUGAGGCGCGACAGCGUGGGGAGCAAACAGG
rnacentral:rRNA from 1 species